UUUGACCUCGGAUCAGGUAGGAAUACCCGCUGAACUUAAGCAUAUCAAUAAAGGCGGAGGAAA
rnacentral:rRNA from 1 species